rnacentral:rRNA from 1 species
AUUGAACGCUGGCGGCAGGCCUAACACAUGCAAGUCGAGCGGAUGAAGGGAGCUUGCUCCUGGAUUCAGCGGCGGACGGGUGAGUAAUGCCUAGGAAUCUGCCUGGUAGUGGGGGAUAACGUCCGGAAACGGGCGCUAAUACCGCAUACGUCCUGAGGGAGAAAGUGGGGGAUCUUCGGACCUCACGCUAUCAGAUGAGCCUAGGUCGGAUUAGCUAGUUGGUGGGGUAAAGGCCUACCAAGGCGACGAUCCGUAACUGGUCUGAGAGGAUGAUCAGUCACACUGGAACUGAGACACGGUCCAGACUCCUACGGGAGGCAGCAGUGGGGAAUAUUGGAGAAUGGGCGAAAGCCUGAUCCAGCCAUGCCGCGUGUGUGAAGAAGGUCUUCGGAUUGUAAAGCACUUUAAGUUGGGAGGAAGGGCAGUAAGUUAAUACCUUGCUGUUUGGACGUUACCAACAGAAUAAGCACCGGCUAACUUCGU